GAAGCGUCUGGAAAGGCGCGCGAUACAGGGUGACAGCCCCGUACACAAAAAUGCACAUAUUGUGAGCUCGAUGAGUAGGGCGGGACACGUGGUAUCCUGUCUGAAUAUGGGGGGCCCAUCCUCCAAGGCUAAAUACUCCUGACUGACCGAUAGUGAACCAGUACCGUGAGGGAAAGGCGAAAAGAACCCCGGCGAGGGGAGUGAAAAAGAACCUGAAACCGUGUACGUACAAGCAGUGGGAGCACGCUUAGGCGUGUGACUGCGUACCUUUUGUAUAAUGGGUCAGCGACUUAUAUUCUGUAGCAAGGUUAACCGAAUAGGGGAGCCGAAGGGAAACCGAGUCUUAACUGGGCGUUAAGUUGCAGGGUAUAGACCCGAAACCCGGUGAUCUAGCCAUGGGCAGGUUGAAGGUUGGGUAACACUAACUGGAGGACCGAACCGACUAAUGUUGAAAAAUUAGCGGAUGACUUGUGGCUGGGGGUGAAAGGCCAAUCAAACCGGGAGAUAGCUGGUUCUCCCCGAAAGCUAUUUAGGUAGCGCCUCGUGAAUUCAUCUCCGGGGGUAGAGCACUGUUUCGGCAAGGGGGUCAUCCCGACUUACCAACCCGAUGCAAACUGCGAAUACCGGAGAAUGUUAUCACGGGAGACACACGGCGGGUGCUAACGUCCGUCGUGAAGAGGGAAACAACCCAGACCGCCAGCUAAGGUCCCAAAGUCAUGGU
rnacentral:rRNA from 1 species